GACAGAGGGUGCAACCGUUGUUCGGAAUUACUGGGCGUAAAGCGUGUGUAGGCGGUCUUGUAAGUCGGGUGUGAAAGCCCAGGGCUCAACCCUGGAAGUGCACUCGAAACUGCAAGGCUAGAGUACCGGAGAGGUUGGUGGAAUUCUCGGUGUAGAGGUGAAAUUCGUAGAUAUCGAGAGGAACACCGGUGGCGAAGGCGGCCAACUGGACGAGUACUGACGCUGAGACACGAAAGCGUGGGGAGCAAACAGG
rnacentral:rRNA from 1 species